rnacentral:ncRNA from 2 species
AACGUGCUCCGGGGUCGGUGAGAGUCCGAACCGGCGGUGAUAGUCCGCGACCCGUGCAACGCGCAAGCGAUGCCCGGUUGACCUGGUGGAACUCCAGGACCGACGGUUAUGAACGCGUCUGCUCGCAGGCGGCGUUCGAGUCCGGAUGGAAGGAGGCACGGG